rnacentral:ncRNA from 1 species
AUAUUUCUUCGGGGCAGGGUGAAAUUCCCGACCGGCGGUGACAAGGGUGUUUAGUAAAACAUUGAUUGAAGUCCGUGAGCGAAAGCUGAUCUGGUGUGAUUCCAGAACCGACAGUAAAGUCUGGAUGGGAGAAGAAAAUC